AUCUCUAGGAAGACUUCCCAUGAAGUUCUAAGAAAAGUUCAGGGUGGAGGGAACCCAAGUCCUUAUUGUCUAGAGUAAACGCACAUUGUCCUUAAUUAUCUGGUCUUUAUUUGUCGUCCUUUCUAGUGAAGAUUAAAGGUUAUGUUUUAUGCUUCAAAGCAAGGAUUUUGUGGUAGGGCUCAUUAUUUUUAUUGAAACAAUGAACUAACUGAUUCACCAAGUUAGAUUGUUAUGCUCAGUUCUUAUUUUUCCUAGGGACAGUUGUGUUGGUACGCACCUCUAAUCUGAGGACAAAAAAGUGGACACAGGAGAGUAUUGAGUUUAAGAGCAACUUGGACUACAUAGAAAAAUGUCUGAUUGUCUCUUAGAGAUUGCCUAGGGCUCCAUUCAUGAUGUCUGGACUUAAGACGGAGAACUGAAAGCAGCAAUGGCCUAUUACAAAUUAUUGAUCUUGAGCAAGAAAUGGAUCUUUCUUCAGUCAGUUCCUUAUCCAGUCAUCAUCAGAGAAGCUUCCUCUGGCAGAAGAUGGGAAUAGGUGCAGAGACCCACAGUCAGAUAUUCAGAGAAAUAUAGAGUCUAAAUUGAAGAUUUCUUUCAGAUCCUUUCCCUCAGAGCUCAGGGAAUCCCAUGGACGAGGAAGAGGAAAAAUUAUCAGAGGCUCAAGUGGAUGGAGGACAUGAGGCUUGUAAGGCUCUCUUUAUCAACUAAGCAAGGCACAUAUGAGCUCACAACGACAGAAGCAGCAAGCACAGGGGAGCAUACGUCUGUACUAGAUCCUCUGCAUAUAUAUUACAACUAUUAAUUAAGUACUUUUACAGAAACCUGAGUAUGAGAAAAAUGGGUCUCGGUCUCUUCUGCCUGCUCUUAUUUUCUUUCCCCUCCCUGUUGGGUUGUCAUGUCCAACCUCCAUAUGAUAGCUUUGGCUCCAUCUUAGUAUAUUUUAUUUUGUCAUGUUUUGUUGCUAUCUCUUAGGAGGCUAUACUUUUUCUAAUGAGAGAAAGAAAGGGAGUGGAUCUGAAUGGGAGGGGAGAUGGGAAGGUACUUGAGGGAGUAGAGGGAGGGAAAAUAAUUGAGAUAUAUGAGAAAAUCUAUUCUCUGUUUUAAGAAUUAUGUUAUUAUUUAACAAAAGAGAGGAAAUUAGAUAAAAUAACAAUCCAUUAUGUAAUAAGAUUUGGACCCAAUCAUAUUCGGAUUCAGAAGACAUCCACAGUUCAUGUAAAAUGGUGUCCCCCACUCCUUUGUUACCUCUUUGUCUUGCCCUGAUUUCUGUCCCUCAGCUUAUACUAUGUAUACAAGAGAAAUUCUGUAUGAUAAAAUAGAAGAAGUCAAAUUUGGGCCUGCUUUGAAGAUAAUUUUCUGAAUAUACUAGGCAUACUGAGGUCAUUCUGUUGCUACAUUACAGUCCAUUUAGAUGUAGUCCUGGAAGUCUGGGGUGAGUAGAUUUCUUCCCACAAAUAAGAUAUUUCCAUAAGCAACUUGGUCAUGCC